AGACCCGAAACCCGGUGAUCUAGCCAUGGGCAGGUUGAAGGUUGGGUAACACUAACUGGAGGACCGAACCGACUAAUGUUGAAAAAUUAGCGGAUGACCUGUGGCUGGGGGUGAAAGGCCAAUCAAACCGGGAGAUAGCUGGUUCUCCCCGAAAGCUAUUUAGGUAGCGCCUCGUGAAUUCAUCUCCGGGGGUAGAGCACUGUUUCGGCUAGGGGGCCAUCCCGGCUUACCAACCCGAUGCAAACUGCGAAUACCGGAGAAUGUUAUCACGGGAGACACACGGCGGGUGCUAACGUCCGUCGUGAAGAGGGAAACAACCCAGACCGCCAGCUAAGGUCCCAAAGUCAUGGUUAAGUGGGAAACGAUGUGGGAAGGCCCAGACAGCCAGGAUGUUGGCUUAGAAGCAGCCAUCAUUUAAAGAAAGCGUAAUAGCUCACUGGUCGAGUCGGCCUGCGCGGAAGAUGUAACGGGGCUAAACCAUGCACCGAAGCUGCGGCAGCGACACUCAGGUGUUGUUGGGUAGGGGAGCGUUCUGUAAGCCUGUGAAGGUGGCCUGUGAGGGUUGCUGGAGGUA
rnacentral:rRNA from 1 species